UGGAGCAGUCCAGUCCAGCUAGGGCUGCGCCUGCGCUGCGGCGGCUUGGGGGAGCCGGACUGCGGGAGCGCCGCGCGGCGGGCCCUCGCACUCGGUAGCAGCGGCGACGAGCGGCGCACCCCGUAGCGGCGACGCAGGUCAGACGAAGGCGAACAAACCGCUGUUCGAGAAGAGGCCGAACCUGUUCGGCAUCGGCGAGCGAGCGCUGCCACCUAAGGAGCGGUAGCAGCGGCGACGCGCGUCGCGGCGCACUCGGGAGCCGGCGACUCAGACGAAGGCCACGAAACCGCUGUUCGAGAAGAGGCCGAAGCUGUUCGGCAUCGGCGGAGCGCUGCCACCUGAGAAGCGGUAGCAGCGGCGACGCGCGGUGGACCCGCGAACUCCGGAGCGGGACGACUAAGAAGAAGGUGACGAACCCAUUGUUCGAGAAGAGGCCGAAGCAGUUUGG